UACAGAGACUGCAAGCGUUAUUCGGAUUCACUGGGCGUAAAGGGUGCGCAGGCGGCCAAGUGUGUUAGGCGUGAAAGCCCGGGGCUUAACCCCGGAAUUGCACCUAAAACUACAUGGCUAGAGCAUUGGAGAGGGUAGCGGAAUUCCAGGUGUAGCGGUGAAAUGCGUAGAUAUCUGGAGGAACAUCAGUGGCGAAGGCGGCUUCCUGGUCCAACACUGACACUGAGGUGCGAAAGCGUGGGGAGCAAACAGG
rnacentral:rRNA from 1 species